rnacentral:rRNA from 1 species
GUUAAGCGACUAAGCGUACACGGUGGAUGCCCUGGCAGUCAGAGGCGAUGAAGGACGUGCUAAUCUGCGAUAAGCGUCGGUAAGGUGAUAUGAACCGUUAUAACCGGCGAUUUCCGAAUGGGGAAACCCAGUGUGAUUCGUCACACUAUCAUUAACUGAAUCCAUAGGUUAAUGAGGCGAACCGGGGGAACUGAAACAUCUAAGUACCCCGAGGAAAAGAAAUCAACCGAGAUUCCCCCAGUAGCGGCGAGCGAACGGGGAGCAGCCCAGAGCCUGAAUCAGUGUGUGUGUUAGUGGAAGCGUCUGGAAAGGCGCGCGAUACAGGGUGACAGCCCCGUACACAAAAAUGCACAUGCUGUGAGCUCGAUGAGUAGGGCGGGACACGUGGUAUCCUGUCUGAAUAUGGGGGGACCAUCCUCCAAGGCUAAAUACUCCUGACUGACCGAUAGUGAACCAGUACCGUGAGGGAAAGGCGAAAAGAACCCCGGCGAGGGGAGUGAAAAAGAACCUGAAACCGUGUACGUACAAGCAGUGGGAGCACGCUUAGGCGUGUGACUGCGUACCUUUUGUAUAAUGGGUCAGCGACUUAUAUUCUGUAGCAAGGUUAACCGAAUAGGGGAGCCGAAGGGAAACCGAGUCUUAACUGGGCGUUAAGUUGCAGGGUAUAGACCCGAAACCCGGUGAUCUAGCCAUGGGCAGGUUGAAGGUUGGGUAACACUAACUGGAGGACCGAACCGACUAAUGUUGAAAAAUUAGCGGAUGACUUGUGGCUGGGGGUGAAAGGCCAAUCAAACCGGGAGAUAGCUGGUUCUCCCCGAAAGCUAUUUAGGUAGCGCCUCGUGAAUUCAUCUCCGGGGGUAGAGCACUGUUUCGGCAAGGGGGUCAUCCCGA